UACGUAGGGGCCGAGCGUUGUCCGGAGUUAUUGGGCGUAAAGCGCGCGCAGGCGGCCUCGCGCGCCCGACGUGAAAGCCCCCGGCUUAACCGGGGAGGGUCGUUGGGGACGGCGGGGCUUGAGGGCGGGAGAGGGCGGUGGAAUUCCCGGUGUAGUGGUGAAAUGCGUAGAGAUCGGGAGGAACACCUGUGGCGAAGGCGGCGAUCUGGGUAGAUACUGACGCUGAGGUGCGAAAGCGUGGGGAGCAAACAGG
rnacentral:rRNA from 1 species